UGGGGAAUAUUGGACAAUGGGCGAAAGCCUGAUCCAGCCAUGCCGCGUGUGUGAAGAAGGUCUUCGGAUUGUAAAGCACUUUAAGUUGGGAGGAAGGGUUGUAGAUUAAUACUCUGCAAUUUUGACGUUACCGACAGAAUAAGCACCGGCUAACUCUGUGCCAGCAGCCGCGGUAAUACAGAGGGUGCAAGCGUUAAUCGGAAUUACUGGGCGUAAAGCGCGCGUAGGUGGUUUGUUAAGUUGGAUGUGAAAUCCCCGGGCUCAACCUGGGAACUGCAUCCAAAACUGGCAAGCUAGAGUAUGGUAGAGGGUGGUGGAAUUUCCUGUGUAGCGGUGAAAUGCGUAGAUAUAGGAAGGAACACCAGUGGCGAAGGCGACCACCUGGACUGAUACUGACACUGAGGUGCGAAAGCGUGGGGAGCAAACAGGAUUAGAUACCCAGGUAGUCCCUGAGCGGGCUGGCAAGGCGCAU
rnacentral:rRNA from 1 species